UACGGAGGGUGCAAGCGUUAUCCGGAUUUAUUGGGUUUAAAGGGUGCGUAGGCGGCUUAUUAAGUCAGUGGUGAAAGACUUCAGCUUAACUGAAGAACUGCCAUUGAUACUGAUGAGCUUGAAUAUACUUGAGGUUGGCGGAAUGUGUCAUGUAGCGGUGAAAUGCUUAGAUAUGACACAGAACACCGAUUGCGAAGGCAGCUAGCUAAAGUAUGAUUGACGCUGAUGCACGAAAGCGUGGGGAGCAAACAGG
rnacentral:rRNA from 1 species